UACGGAGGGUGCAAGCGUUAUCCGGAUUCACUGGGUUUAAAGGGUGCGUAGGAGGGCAGGUAAGUCAGUGGUGAAAUCUCCAAGCUUAACUUGGAACUGCCGUUGAUACUAUCUGUCUUGAAUACCGUGGAGGUGAGCGGAAUAUGUCAUGUAGCGGUGAAAUGCUUAGAUAUGACAUAGAACACCAAUUGCGAAGGCAGCUCGCUACACGAAUAUUGACUCUGAGGCACGAAAGCGUGGGGAGUCAAACAGGA
rnacentral:rRNA from 1 species